GGCAUGGUGGCUUAGUGGUUAGCACGUUUGCCUCUCACCUCCAGGGUCGGGAGGUUCCAUUCCUGCCUUUGCCC